GACGAACGCUGGCGGCGUGCUUAACACAUGCAAGUCGAACGGUAAGGCCCUUCGGGGUACACGAGUGGCGAACGGGUGAGUAACACGUGGGUGAUCUGCCCUGCACUUCGGGAUAAGCCUGGGAAACUGGGUCUAAUACCGGAUAGGACUCCUGGCUUCAUGGUUGGGGGUGGAAAGCUUUUGCGGUGUGGGAUGGGCCCGCGGCCUAUCAGCUUGUUGGUGGGGUAAUGGCCUACAAAGGGGACGACGGGUAGCGGGCCUGGGAGGGUGACCGGUCACACUGGGACUGGGAUACGGCCCAGACUCCGACGGGAGGCAGCAGUGGGGAAGAUUGCACAAUGGGCGCAAGCCUGAUGCAGCGACGCCGCGUGAGGGAUGACGGCCUUCGGGUUGUAAACCUCUUUCAGCUAUGACGAAGCGCAAGUGACGGUAGUAGCAGAAGAAGGACCGGCCAACUACGUGCCAGCAGCCGCGGUAA
rnacentral:rRNA from 1 species